AUGAGAUCUGGACUCAAUGGGAUUUUCAUUCUGACAUUAUUGCGAGGUGUCCAUUGUGACAUUCAGCUGGUGGAGUCUGGGGGAGACGUGAGACAGCCUGGAGGAUCCCUGAAACUCUCCUGCAAAGCCUCUGGAUUUGACUUCAGCAGCUAUUUCAUGAAUUGGGUUCGCCAGGCUCCAGGGAAGGGGCUGGAGUGGAUCUCAUACAUUAGUGGUACUGGAAGUGAUAUAUACUAUGCAGACUCUGUGAAAGGGCGAUUCACCAUCUCCAGGGACAAUGGCAACAGCCUGCUGCACCUGCAGAUGAAUUCCCUGAAAGCUGAGGACACAGCCAUGUAUUACUGUGCAAGAGAAUUCACUUGUGAAUCCAUCUGGUCCUUGGGA